rnacentral:rRNA from 1 species
AUUGAACGCUGGCGGCAUGCUUUACACAUGCAAGUCGAACGGUAACAGGCCGCAAGGUGCUGACGAGUGGCGAACGGGUGAGUAAUGCAUCGGAACGUGCCCAAUCGUGGGGGAUAACUACUCGAAAGAGUAGCUAAUACCGCAUACGAUCUAUGGAUGAAAGCGGGGGACCGUAAGGCCUCGCGCGAUUGGAGCGGCCGAUGUCAGAUUAGGUAGUUGGUGGGGUAAAGGCUCACCAAGCCAACGAUCUGUAGCUGGUCUGAGAGGACGACCAGCCACACUGGGACUGAGACACGGCCCAGACUCCUACGGGAGGCAGCAGUGGGGAAUUUUGGACAAUGGGCGCAAGCCUGAUCCAGCAAUGCCGCGUGCAGGAAGAAGGCCUUCGGGUUGUAAACUGCUUUUGUCCGGAACGAAACGGCUCUGGUUAAUACCCGAGGCUAAUGACGGUACCGUAAGAAUAAGCACCGGCUAACUACGUG